GAUAAGAACGUAGCGAAAUGCGAUAAGUAAUGUGAAUUGCAGAAUUCAGUGAAUCAUCGAAUCUUUGAACGCAUCUUGCGCUCCUUGGUAUUCUGAGGAGCAUGCCUGUUUGAGUGUCAUUAAAUUCUCAACUACACUGACUUUGAAUUGGUGUGGCUUGGAUUUGGGGGGAAAAUUGUUGUGGGCUUUUUGUAUAGUCUGCUCCCCUGAAAUUGAUUAGCGGUACCUUUGUGGAACUGUCUACAGGUGUGAUAAUUAUCUACAUCUUAGACAUCUGCUGGAAUGCUGCUUUCUAAACCUUACUUGUAUUGACAAUCUUGACCUCAAAUCAGGUAGGACUACCCGCUGAACUUAAGCAUAUCAAUAAGCGGAGGA
rnacentral:misc_RNA from 1 species